UUUGCAGACACUGCAUAGACCUUACUGUUUGCUACCUAAUUGCAGUUCAAUAUUCAGAUCAACUGGAUGAUAAAUACUCUCAGGUCUAAUUAUUUAUAGAUAGUCCACCUUUCUGAUAGAUCCAACACAGGAAAUAAAAAGACAAAAUGUGGAAGAAACUGGUUGGUCAAAGAGGGUUUAAGCUUGUCAUGGAGAAAGCCAGAGCUUAUUAUAAGGUAGAUCCAAGCACACAGGCAAAUCUCAGAUCAGAAGGGAGGGCCGCCUCCAGGAGGGCCGUAAGGUCCGCGAGGUCCACCGAAGCAGUCUUGUAGCAACCAGCAACAGCAGAGGCAGUAGAAGCUGCAUAUAUCAAAAAGGAAAAACAUGUGAUUUGAAAAGCACUGGAUUAAUUAACCAUUUUGAGAAGAAUCUUUACUUUAUGCCCUUCAACGAAUUCACAUGACUAAGAAUCAGUUAAAUACAGAAGAUAAAAAGAAAAAAAGUCCAACAUUAUCAUACUCUAGUCUGGAAAUGGAUCAUACCAAGAAGAUAUCAUGUUGCAUAUACCAUUUGCAAACCCACCAAAGAAUCCACCGGGGCCAAAACCAGGUCCUCCGGGGCCAAAACCAGGGCCUCCGGGGCCAAAACCAGGGCCUCCAGGGCCAAAACCAGGGCCUCCGGGGCCAAAACCAGGGCCUCCGGGGCCAAAACCAGGUCCUCCAGGGCCAGGGCCCCAACCCCCAGGACCACCUGGUCCACCAGGUCCACCAGGUCCCAUCACAGUGCUCUACCCUGUGGAACUGAAGCAGAUACCACACACACGAAGAGGAAGAGCCAGAAAGAUAUUUCAGAGUCUGGAUCCAAUAUGAUAUUUGUGUAAGGAAGCCUAAGGAUCUAGAAUUUUUCCCCGCAUAUAAAGAAUAAAGUUCAUGGGAAUUGAGGAGUUUCCUUAGCCUGAAAGCUUUGUAGGUUUAUCUACAGGUCUGUAACAACAUGUCCAUCCACUUCACACCUGAAAACACCCAGUCAAACCAUAAAACUACCAGUCUUCUUCAAACCUACCACUCAAAGCCAAAUAUUUUGUCGGUCAUGCCGACCAUACAUGUUAGCCUGUUUUAUGACAAAUCAAAUCAUUCAAAUCCUAGACAAUUUCUUGUAGAUCGAACUGCCCCCCACAAUGUUGUUUCCACUAGCACUCAUAUUAAUGAGAAGUUGUUUGGUUAAUAUAAUCUGCUUAAUUGAGAAGACGUUUGUUUUUUUGGUUUUUUGUUGAAAACAAUUUGCUUUCAGAGUUUUUUUUUAUUUUCUUUUUAUGACUUAUUAUAAAUAUUUUGCUAUAUAGAAAUCAAAAUCUUUGAUUUUUUUUAAAUAAAAAAAGUAACAUGUUAGUUUUUCUUUAUUUUUUAAUAUUUAAUAAAAAUAAAAUAUGAAAAAACAAAUAAUUUAAUACUUAACUCUAUAAUACAUUAAAAUUCUAUUUAGAAUUAAGUAAAAAAAUCAAAGAUCACGAUCAAUACUAAAACAAAACAAUUCACAGUAAUACAAGUUUUGGGAAAUGACCAUCCAAGAAAAGGAUUGGUGAGUAAUGGACCAAAGUAGAAAAGCCUAAAAUAGCCACAACAAAAAGAAAUGGAAAAUUUUGAAUCUGAUAUAGAUUGAGGGUGCAGAAUACUAAAAAAACAUUCAAGAACAAAAGCAAACUAUUAACCAUGCAUUUUAGCUUAUCAUCUUCAUCUACAUUUGCAAAGACACAAGCUGGUAAGUUGGGUGACUAAUGUUAGCAUUCUAGCUAUGGGAUGCCACGACAAGGGCAUGUAUAACCGAGUGAUGUGGCUUGGAAAACAUAACCGUGACUGAGGUUGCGGCUUACGAUGAUAUGCAUUGGUGGGAACUAGGUGGAGGCAGCCUUGAAUGAUGAAAGUGGGCUAAGUGGCUAGAAAAUAGUGCCUCAAGUGGGUUGUGAGAGGCAUUACAAAGGCACACAAGAAGCUAGCACAUGUUGCAUGACUUGUGGGCACCGUAUAUAUAUAACAAUGGUAGCACAUGAUAACACAUUCAUAUGGGCACUGCAAGUGUUGGAUGUUGGUGCUUGAUGGGCUUCCUAUGUUGCUAAGAUCUAAGAAAAUUUUCAUAAGUGAUGAGGUAUUUUUUUUCGUAUUUUCUAUAUAAGUAUCCAUUAUGCCUAUGGAAGCAACCUUGAUGUCUCCUCUUGAUAGAUCGAAAAAGGCCCAAAAUGCACUUUAAAAAGGAGGUGGUAGUCUCAUUUGGAUAACCCAAGGGUGCGUGCUAUGACAUGGCAUGGGCACAAUUGAGGCACGCCAAGACUCUCCACGGACCAGUACAGGACACCAUUAGGGCUUGCACUCACCCAGUGCAUGAACACGGAACCAUGAGUUGAGCAGGCCACAUAGCACAUGUGAGCUAUGUGGCUGAAAUAAGGCGGAAUAUUAGAAAUUUGGUGCAUAGGUUGCAUGUGGGUAAUUCUAUAUCGUGAACCUUGGGCACAACCAAAGUCACAAGACCCUAAAAUACAUGAUGAAAGGUUCUCGUGUUAAAAACGGUUGGCUUGGGAAGACAUACAUUGGCACCUAAGUGCAUGAAUGCAUACCAAAAGAAAGGGAGCAUGUAAGGGACAUGCCUAAGAGGCAACUCCUCGGGGUUGGUUGAGCAUGGGCUCGUGGCUGUCAUAGGUGGGCGAUUACUAAGGUUACUGAUUCAAGGAGAGAUGGUUGCUUUUCAUAAAAAAGUAGGGGGUUGCAGCGUAUGUGGGACACUUGGCGGCACCAGAUGAGAAGCUAGGGACCUUAAGAACCAACCAAGACAGGUGGCAAAACAUGAACUAUGUCUAAAAAAUGUCGGAAAACUUGAUCGAUUACUUAAGAGUAAGUUAUAGCCCAUUAGAGGUGGCAAAAUUUGAUAUAAUUUUUCGACAUGAAUAAAAUUCAACAUGCCUUUUAUAGGUUUGGAUUGAGUAAAAUUGGGUUUAGGCCAAAUUCAUAUUGACUUGUAUAACCCAUUUAACAAAUAGGUAGUUUUUGGGUCAAUUUGCACAUAACACGAAUUUAAUUUGAAUUGAUUCAUUUAAUGAUUCUAUUAACUAUCAUAAUUAUAACUUUAAACUAUUUAACUUAUAUUUGAGGCGUGCAAAGGUUUCAUCGGGCCGAACGAAGAUCGACCCUCGAGUGCAAAGAUAGAAGGGAGCUUGACUGCAAGAUCCACCAGUCGAGCAGGGAUGAAAGUUGGCCUUAGUGAUUCGACGGUGCCAAGUGGAAGGGUCAUCGCUCAACGGAUAAAAGUUACUCUAGGGAUAACAGACUAAUCUUCCCCAAGAGCUCACAUUGGCGGGAAGGUUUGGCACCUUGAUGUCGGCUCUUCGCCACCUGGGGCUGUAGUAUGUUCUAAGGGUUGGAUUGUUCGCCCAUUAAAAAGAAUUGUGAGUUGGGUUCAGAAUGUCAUGAGACAGUUUGGUCCAUAUCCGGUGUAGGCGUUAGAGCAUUGAGAGGACCUUUCCCUAGUACGAGAGGAUCGGGAAUGACGCACCUCUGGUGUACCAGUUAUUGUGCCCACGGUAAACGCUAGGUAGCCAAGUGCGGAGUGGAUAACUUUUGAAAACAUCUAAGUAGUAAGCCCACCCAAAGAUGAGUGCUCUCCUAUUCUGACUUCCUCAGAGCCUCCAGUAGCACAACUGAGACAGCGACGGGUUCUCUAUCUGUUUUAAAUUUGUAAUAAAUCAAUUAAAUCAUAAAUAUAUUUAGCUGAGACAACUUGAUUAUUAAAUAACAAUCUGAUUAUUAAAUGAAUUACACAACUGCUACCUAUUUAAAAAUUAUAUAGUAUUUAGGUUUAUGUUUGUGAGAUAAUAUCAUUCAUGUCGGAUUUUGGGUUAACCUAUGUCAUAGUAUAUCUAGCUAUUGACAUAAUAUGAAUACGACCCACCAACAUAAAUUACAAACAAUAUGACAGAUGAUACAUGUGAAAAGACAGAGUUUCCGCAUAAGUUUAGUGCAAUUUUAUAAGCCAUGAUUUCUUGUGGGUUACAUCCCAUAAGUUGUUAGUGUUCAUUGUAUCAUUAUAUGUGGACUGCAUUGUGGGCUUAGGUGUUAGAGCCAUCACAAGGAAAAAAUUGUGGUAGUUAAUUCUUGUGACAACUAACUUGGUGACACCUGAGUAAACUUAUUGAAUAGGAAAAUACCAAUUAGCUAAGAUUUGUCAAAAGCUUGUUAUCAACGACUUCUUCAUACACCAAACUUAGUAGAUUUGGUGUUUCUAAUGAAGUUUGAGGUUGAGAUUAUUAUCAACAUGCCAUCAGUGCCAUACUAAAUAUGUACAUUUGGUUCUCCCCUCCAACACUGUUCCUGGAUCCUAUUGUCAUCAAAUCGGAUGGGAUGUAUGCACUAACAUUUUCUCACCAUUCUCACUCCACCCCCUGAAGAGGAAGCCACCUCAGCUGUAAGAAGCACACCUAAGCAUCCAGUCAUGGUUCAUAGCAUCAACUCAAAACUUGGAGUCUUUAUCUUUGGUUUUUCAAAUCUCACCCAAUCAGUCACUUUCUUUGUUGCAUUUCAAGCUUCUGAAACAACAGAACUUCCAUGGUUUCUUGCUUCCCCAGUUAGGGUUUCAGGGUUGGCAAAAUGGGGUUUUAAUUGUAUGGCUUAUCAACCCCCCACCUAAAAAAAAUGGUCUCCUAGUGUUUUUUCUGGUUAGAAAAACAACAGAAAUUGAUGUUUAGUGUUCUCCUAACCAUGAGGAAAAACAAACUUGAGAAUCAACCCAGGUCAUCUGCAAAUCAGGAAAACUGAAUGAAGUUUUGCUUUAAAAAAAAAUGCGCAAAUUCAAUUCAAAAAUUGUGUAAUUAAAAUAAAAAUGGCCUCAGAUUAGCAUUUUGGCACAUUCUUCCUUGCCUCAACAACCCCAUGGUAAGCAUAAUCUACCACAGUGCGCAAAUAGUUGUUGACGCUCAUGCCCAAAAGUUGUCAUCACCGGCAAUAACAAUCUACAUUCAAACACCUCUAAUGAUACGCAAUCGAUAAUCUACAUUCAAACACCUCUAAUGAUACGCAAUCGAUAUUGGUCCGAAACAAUCAUGUUGCCCUCUGUUUGGCUCCUGAGAAAACAGGGGAAGAAAGAACCUCAAGCCUUAGCCUUUCUCAGCUUCGAGGAAAUGAAAAACUCGAUUCAGAGUUUUGAUUUCUUCCUUUUCCGAGAUUUUCUCAGGAGCCAAACGGUAUAAUAGAUUCACAUUCUACCAGAACUAUACACUUUCAUUUCUGGCUAAAAGGAAUAACAAAAACUACUUCCGAAUCUACCACCGAAUCUAAACAGAAACUCGAUUAUCGUUUUCAAAAAGGCAUAAAUUUUGGUUUCAAAGACAUGAGAUCCACUUCCGAUCCGCUGAUCAUAACAAGCUAUAGACAAGAAAUCAAAAUUAAGAGCAACGACAAUGAUAAGGUUUCGAUUUAAGUAAUAGCCGAGGAUGAUCAACGUCGACGGAGGCGAUACCGGCGAGAUGGAGAGUCAAGAAACGAAGAAAGGGAACAGGACCGGAGGGGGCUAGGGUUUGCCGAACGAGCAACGGAAACACGGGUAUUUAUAGAUUUUCCUCAGUUUGGAUACCUAGAAUUUCAUACUCGGAUUUGGAUUGCCCCGCUCCAGUUAGGGAUAUUUGACUAACCGGAAUAGUGAAGAAAGGUGUUAGGAACAUCGUGGGUUAGACUGGGCUUUGGAAUGGGCUAAAUUUAAACCAAUUCAUUGGGUUGGGCCUAAAUUUCUACUUGGACGCAUACUUAGCCCCUUUAAAAAAUGUGAUUCUAGUAAAAUGAUUAAGAUAUGAAGAAUUAAACUAUAUUUUUAAAAUAUUUAUUUACACGAAUAUCGAUUAACUAGGUAUGCAUGAUGAUUCUUUAGUUCAUACUUGAAGAUCCUGGCAUGAUGAAUCCUAAGAUGUAUUGGUGCACAAUAAAUAACGCAGGUUGAGUAGUAAAGUCUUGUACUAUGAACACAUAAGUCGGUAAAAAAUAUAUGUAUUGAGCUACCAAGGAAGUAAUAACCCCUAAAGAGACUAGAAUAAGGUUUAAUUGAGAAUGAAUCAAAUUAUUGAUUGUGUCAUAAGGACCCUAAAAAGUAUUCUCAUAGGUUAUGGAUUGUGAAUCUACCAUGCACAAGUUCAAUUCCCGUUUGUCCAUAACUAAACUUAAAUGCUUUGUUAUAAAAGGAUUUCAGAUAAUACACCACAUUUUAUAUUUAGUUGAUAAUAAGAUACUAUAAAUCAUCUUAUUACUUAUUAUAUCUUGUAUUUAAUAAGUGGUAAGUUAUAUUAUUCUAUAUUAUCAAACCGGAAUAUAUAAAAUAUGUGGAAUGGAAUAAAUUACAGGAAAUGUAAUUCAUAAUUCUUGAAUAAAAUGCAAAGAGGGUUUUUUACAUUUUAAAUAAAAAUAUGAAAUAUUAAAUAAAUAAAAAAGGCAAAAAACAAAAACUUGUAUAUAUAUAAAAGAUUUUGGGGGUUAGGACAGGUUGUAAAACAUCUUAUCAAUGCACAUGCAUAUUGGAUAUGCAUAGACUUGGAUGGGAUAGAAUGGUCACAUGGGCCCAAACGAUAGCCCAGAAAACAUCUUAUCGACAAGAAUACAGGGAAUGCACAGACUUGGAUUAGAUGGGGUGGGAUGGGAUGGUCAGAUGGGCCCAAACUACAGCCCAAUUAAUAAGUGAGUAAGCAUAUCGAGGCCCAAUAAUGCUUGAAAUGGUAAUCAAAAUGAAAAUAAUUCUCAAUUUUCAAAAAUAAGAGAAUAAACUUCGAUUUCACAAGCAGAUGGAUCCAAUUUUUCAUGAGUAUAGAAAUCAAAACUUUUUGGAGGAUGUGUAGUGGGGGAAUCUGGAAAUUAUGGUGUUGGGCCCGGGGAUCCAAAUAUCAUUAAGUGUUAAAUCUGACUGGGCCUGAUUAUACAAUCCACAUCAACCAUCACCCAUUAGGAUGAAGUUGAUUGUUCCCUUCAUUUCAUUUUAUUCUUCUUUUUAUUUUUUGUUUUUUGUUUUUUAUAUGAUAUAUAAUUAUAAUGCUACCCCAACUUUGCUCUUUAUGUAAUGAUUAUUCCCUUUACUAUUAAAGAAUGUGAUUAUAGCCAUAUGAUUAAAAAAUUAAAAAUUAAAUCAAACUUUUUUUAGAAUAUUUAUGUGCCUAGAUAUAAAUUAACUAUAAGUGGAGGGGUCGUAUAUUAGGGUAUGCAUGAUUUUUUCGGUCAUAUUUGGUUAGUCAAAUAUGAUAUGAAGUAAGAUAAUAGAUAAGAUAACAUAUCAGCUCUUGUAUUUGAUAUCAUUUUCAUAAUAUAUAAUAUUUAAGAAUAUCAUCUCUUAUUUAAUUAAUCAUAUCUAUCCGUAGUCUUUACAACAACAUCUUAAAAGGGUCAGAAAAAGAAGACGAUGGGUAAGGAAAAUCCAAAAUAGAGUUUGGACAUUAUCGGGAUUUAAGAUUGUUUAUAAAGCUAAAUAUUAUUAGAGUCUCUCACACAAUUAUUCCAUAUCUAAUCUCCCGGAUGUUUCACAAUUUGGAAGAUUUUGGGGUGGGUUUGGACAGGUUGUAAAACAUCUCAUCAACAACAAUGUUUUACAUACUUAGACUUGGAUGUGAUGGAAUGGUCAGAUGGGCCCAAACGACAGCCCAGUAAAUAAAUGAGCAUACCAAGGCCCAAUAAUAGCAAAGAUGGCAAUCAAAAUGAAAAUGAUUUUUCCAAAAAAAAAAAAGGAAAAAAAAAUUGCUUCUUUAUCUUUGAAGAACGCGCACAUUAUUAUUUUAUUUUAAAUUUCAAAAAUAAAAAAUAAAAUAAAAAUUAAUUUUCACAACCAGAUGGAUCCAAUUUUUCGGUAGUAUUGAAGUCACAACUUUUUGGGAGGAUGUGUAGUUGGGGAAUCCGGGAGUUGUAGUGAGUCCCACGGUUCAAGUUUCAACUAACCAUAACCGUAUAUUUUGACUAGUAGGCUCAAUAUUUAUGGUGUUGGGCCCGGGCCAUGAUUGGAGUAUGGGCCCAGUGAUCCAAACAUCAUUAAGUACUAAAUCUGACUGGGCCUGAUCAUAAAAUCCACAUCAACCAUCACCCAUUAAGAUGAAGUUGAUUGUUCCCUUCAUUCCAUGUUAUUUCCUUUAUAUAUAUGAUAUAUAAUUAUAAUUUUAGCCCAAAUUUUGCUGCUUAUUUAAUAAAUAUAAGGUAAUUGUGGUCUACAAAUCUAAUUUCAAAAUUUCAAUCAUGAGACUUGACUCAAUCAUACAAAGCUGGCCCUUGAGCAACCCCCUAGAUUAACCAAUGAGAAAAAACGCGCUUUCUCUUUAACCGUACAAAGAAUGCAAUAUCAACGAAUAGAUGGAAGAUUAAUCAUGUGAUCAUCAUCGAUAUGUCUUCGUUGAUAUAAUUUGUGGAACCCCAUCUUAUAAAUUUUGCAUUUAUUCGUGGGACAUAUUUAUAAAAGAUGAUGAAUGCAUUAUAAUCUGAUAAUUCUUUGCUUGAUUCGAUUACGAGAAUUAUUUAAAGUUCAAUUUUAUUGAAUUUAUCAUUAGAGAUAGAGACAGUAUUGAAAGAGUUGAAAAUUUUCCUAAUAAUAACAAGUAAAUAAAUAAACUUUAAUAUCGGUUGAAUAGUUUAUCAUUUAUAUUACUCCAACUUGUAAAACAGAAAUGUGAACUGUUUUACAAAAUUUAUUCAAAGAUUUUGUCUCGAUUUUGAUCAUUUUUUCAACAAGACAAAUGAGUGAAUCAACCUAACCAAGUACAAGAUCUUAAAGAGAAAAAGUGGACCUUGUAAAUAAUAAACUAAUAAACUUUUACCAAAUAUUUCUCCGAAACAAUCGCUAAAAAAUUUGGACGCAAGGAAGAAGAAGAAGCAUGCGGAGCACCUUAGCUACCUACCAUGAAAAGAGAGCUUUUCAUCAUAAGGACACUUUGAUAAUUUGGAUUAGUAGCCGUGAUAAAGAAAGCCGUGAAUUCAAUAGCCAAUGUGUGCCAAGAACACAAACCUAACACAUCUAAUAUUAUCUCAUCACACCAUAAUUCAAAUUAAAGCCCUUACGUAAUCCAAUGCCUUGUGUUGUAGUAGUAGUAGUAGUUGACCCAAGCCACCUUUUUUUUCCACAACCACGUGUAUGUGAAGAGGCUUCAAUCAGCCACCAACAAAGAGACUUUUAUUAUCCAUAGGUAAAUGACAAAAGAGAGAGGGGGAGAGAGAGAUGGGGAGAGAGGGGGGAUGAGGACUCAAGGGCCAAGCUCAACCGAAAGGUAAUGCAAUUAUGGGUGAAAGGGUCCUUUAGAAGAAAAAACUAGUAAUAUUCUGACUCUGGUGGAAUGAUUUUUUCUAGAGAAAGUGAUGGAAUUAUAAAUGAGUUGCUACUUUAGAAGAAAAGAUUAUCAUUAUUUUGACUAACUUGCCCAUUUUGAAACCAUUUCUUAGAGGUUGGUGACAACAACGUGGCCUAUGCUAUGCACCCAUCCAUUUUAUGGGGUAUGGAAGUGUUCACAAUUUUUUAAAAUUUAAUAAAAUCAUGGGGUUUUUCUUUUCCACUUAAUAAUUUAAAAAUAUUUAUGUUAUUGGUCAUGGGAAGUAAAGAAAAUAUUUUUAUUUUUGAAAUGAUGCACUAAAAGCCAUGGGAUUGAAUAAAGAAUCCUCAUAUAUGAUAAUGAUUGAAAUGAUGUUAAAUCUAGAGUGGAAGAGUUUUAGUGCUCAAACAAAAACAAAAAUUACUUUAUAGGUUAGGAAUGAUGCCUAAUAUGGAUUCAGACCACCCAUUCAAAGGUAUUUUUAAAAUAAAAGCUCUAUUUAAAAUAAAAUAUUAAGGCAUUUUGAAGUUCAAUCAAAUUGAAGCUUUGUUCAAAGGGUUGACGGUUUAAAAAUAAUUUAAUAUGGAAAUUAGGAGAAGUUUAGUUUACACAAAACCUUUUUUUCUAGUGCACGCAAACAACUCAUGUGAUUUUAGUCUUAAUAGUAACUUUUAGCUAAAAUAAAAGAGACAAAGUUAUGAAAAAUGAAGCUUAAAUAGUCAUGAAAAAAGUCAAAAUAUUAUAUUAUGUUUGGUUAUCAAGAAGUACUAAGGAAAUGAAAAAAUGUUAAAAGAAAAAUGAUUUUUGAAUAAUAAUAAAUAAAUAAAAUUAAAAUUGGUUAAAAAUUUAUAUAUUUUUAAAUUAUUUAAUUUUUAUAUAAAAAGUUAAAAUAAAUGAAAUUAGUUUAAAACAGCAUAUAGGAUAAUUUAUUAAUUUUAAAUUUAUUUUUUAUUUUUCUUCCCUUUUUUUUCAUUUUCUUUUCUUUAUAUUUUCCUUCAAUAAUUUCGGGAAUUGUAUAUAAUCUUAACCAUUAUGCUUAAAAUUGCAUUUAAUUUCACUGUCACCAAUGGUUAAAAAAAUAUUAUUUAAAUAUUAUAUUUCAAAUAAAAUUUUGAAUUUUUAUAUUAAAGCAAAAUAUCCGAAAACAAGACUUUAAACCAACGAGCCCUUGGGUUUAUAUUUAUGAGUAAAAAAAAAAGGGUAAGCCUUGAAAAUAUGUUUGUGAUGGAGGGCAUAGGAAGGCAGAAUAGUGGCUGCAUCUCAAGUCAUUCUGCCAUGAAAAAUGGUCCCAAAAAGGCAAAGUAAAUAUAAGGAAUCCAUGUAGUAUGAUGAUGUUGGCAUCCAAGGAUGGGUCCUCCACCUCCCAAUGCCAAUGUCAACCUCCUCUGCAUGGCACACUAGAAAGUAGCAAAAUAUCAAUAUCACACUUUGGUCCCCCAUCACCAUUUGCCUAAGUGUUGGAGGAGUGGUCCACUCUAUGUGGACCAUUAAUGGCCAAACCUAGCUUAAUCAAGAGAGUUCCACCCCCUUGAAUUUUAGGCCAUUUGGAAUUGGACCCAAGACACCCUUAAAAGUCAUUUGGAUUUGGACCACAGAAAAAAUAUUUUUUAAAAAAAAAAAAAAGAAAAAAAGAAAAGGGAAAAAGGACCAUUAAUGAAGGAAAAGUGUAGAGGCCCAUGAUUAAAACCCCUCAAGUCCUAGAGAUGGAAUUCAUGACUCAAAGGGGGCUAACAUUUUGGUGUGAGGCCUUACCAACUAGUGGUCCCAUUUUACUGCUCUUACUAAAUUCCAAUGUGCAAAGGAGCUUUCUUUGUUGUUGGGAUUCAUGAAAUGGGGGGUUUUUGAUAAGGUUGAAAACAGCCUGAAAAGUCUUAAUUAAAGAUCAAAUCAUUGAUUAUGGUACUGAAUUUGUAUUGGGUUUUUCCUAAUUUAAGGUAACAAGAUUUGUCAUCACUUAAUUAAUCAAGUUGCGUUACCUCCAUUAUACCCCACUUGAUAACUACUUCAUGAAGAGAGGCUAGAGGGUCUGCUUCCAUACCAUAUUUUGACCUACUUCAACAACUUGACAUAACAAUUGAUGGGGUAUUUUUUUCCUUAUUUAUUUAUUUAAAAUAUUCUGAAUAAUUUAUAUAAAAAAAAUUUCCAAGUUAACUAGUAUUUAACAAAAUAAAAAUCAUUUUUAAAAUAAUUUCAUACAUGCCUAUAAGAAGCCUGUAGUGAUCUACCAACACUCUAAAUGCCCUAAUUAUAGAAUAUAUGGGAGCUAAGAAUAAAAAGGCUUUUAUAGUGUUUGUGGUAAUAAUUCAUGUGAUAAAAAAAAUGGGUUUUUUUUUUUAUAUCAUAUUAUAACUAACUAUCAAAUAUAAAAACUACUUAAAAUUACUUUCUAUACUUUCUAAAAGUUUGUACUUUAACGAGGUUUGGAGCAUCUCAUAUAAAACCAAUUGGAAUUUAGUAUGGUAGGCUAAACUUUUUUUAUGAUAUUCAAUCACCAUCAUUUAGACUCAAGAAUUCAUUGUUGCUCCCUAACAUGAUAAUCUCGUGGUUCGAAUCAUCAAUAAUCCCUCCCCAAUAUGAGACUCCUAUGGUUCAAACCCAUGAUCCUAAGUAUGAUUAAAAUUUCUUUAAAAAUCAAUUGUUAAAAAAACUUGCAUGUAUAACGAUCUAAACCUCUAAUCUUCAAUUUACAAGGCAACCUCACUUACCGCAUAAUUAUGCAAUUGUUUUUGCUCUUUUUUUGCCCCCUUAAAAAUAAAUUAUUGUUUUUGCCAUUAAAAUGAGUGAAUAUGUACGAUCAUAUUCCUGUAUUUUCACAAACACGAAUUCAUCCAUGUUCUCAUGAAUACGGGUUCAUUUGUGUUCUCAUGAAUACAAGUUCAUCCAUAUUCCCUCUCAACUCAUUUUUUUAAUUUUGUCACUACAUCAUUAAAUAUAAGAGCGACAUUAUUGCAUCCAAAAGUUUAUAGAAUAUAUAAUCUUUAUAAUGUUUAAAGAAGUAAAAUUUUGAUAACCUUUCAUAUUUUUGUAGAAUGAUUAUUGUAAAAGAUUUUUCCUUUUUUGCACAUGACUUUUUUCUUUUUAUAUAAGGAAAAAAAAAAGUUUUGAUAGUGAUUGCAAAAAUAAGUCAUAUAGUAAGACAAGAAGCUAAUAUUUAGAAUUUUUAUUUUUAUUUUUUUAAGUAUUAAAAAGUUUAUAAAAUAUUUUAUAAAAUUAUUAUCGAACGUGUUUUAAGAAUAAUAAGGUUUUAUUUAAUAAUUAGAUUGUGUUUAUUCAAGUCAAAAUAGUUAAUUACCAGCCUAACAUAUUUAUUACUCAAUCAAUUUAUUCAUUUAAAAUUUGAUAAACUGUAAUUAUAAUUAAUCGAUCCAUACCACUAUUAAACAUGUUACAUACAUGAAUAUGAAUAUAAUCUAAACAUAAUUAUACUUAAUCUAAACCCGUAAAACUCUAAAUAAAGCAAAUGAUCAUGUCUCACGAAUCCAAUUAACCUAGCCCCAUUUCAUAAUUCAUGGCCAAACCAUUCUUCUAUUAAUCCUCCACUCACCACCGCGUGAAAAACCCCGGCCGAGAUAAAGGAUUAGGCAAAAGGCAACAUGCACGUUAAAAAAUAAAAAAUAAAUAAAAUAAUAAUAAUAAAUUCCCACACGUUUAAAAUGAUCGGUUAAUUAACCCCAUGAUGUUUGUAACUUUUAGACGACUAGAGAGAGAAAUAGAGGAGACUUGGGUCUUGGGUGAGCUCAAAUGAAAUGCAGACACGCAAGUACAGCCCACGAAAGCGUCAAAAUAUGUGGGGCAGUGUCGGUGACCGUCAUGCUCAGGCUUCUACUUUUGGCAAACCCUUUUUCUUUUUUCUUUCCCAUACAGAUAAAGAAAUAAUUCAAAAAAAAAAAGGUGGGAAGGGGGAAAAGGAGGAAGUAGAAGAAGAGAAAGAGUGGGAAAAAGGUGGUGUCGCUCAGGUUGAUUGGACGGUGCACCUUUGCAAGGCAACAUAGGGCAGAGGGUUUGGGGCACCCCCUCCUACGGAGAGAGGGUGGUGGGGUCCCAUAAAAUUGGCCCCUCAGGGAUUGCAUGCCCUCGAGCACCUUCCUUUAUGACUGCUCCUGCAGGGGACGGGACUUGUCAACUUCAGCUCUACGUUUCAACUUUCUAUGCAUGCCUUCCUUUGGGUUACUUGCAUUGUUUUCAAUUAAGCUCCCAUACCUUAGCUUUAUGCAUGAAACAUGGUUACCCUAUCUGCUCUGAUUCCAUUUUUGGAUUUACCCUUCCAAAAAUUAAAUUAAAUUAAAAAUAUAAGAAGUAUUUUUAAAAACAAUUCGAAAAGUAAUUUUUGAGAUCAUGGGUCAUCUCAUUUUUGGAUUUACCUAAAAAAAUAAUAAUAAUAAAUUAAAUAUAAAAUAUAAGAUUAUGUUUGUGGAGUGUCUUUUUAAAAUAAUUUUGUUUUAUGUUUUUUAUAGAUGUGUUUUAAAUAUAUUUUUUUAUUUGUAAUGCUUUUUUAUUUAUUUAUUUUAUAUUCAUAUAAUUAUUUUUUAAAGCAACUCAAAUCAACUAAAACUUAUUCUCUAAAAAUAUUCUAUUUUUCAAAAAUAAAAAAUUUAUUUUAUACUUUUUUUUAUCAAACAUGUUUUCUUAAAAAAAAAAAAACUGUUUUAAAAAGCUAUUGCCAAAAAGACUUUUAUGAAACUAAAAAUACUUACACUAUGAUUACUACCCAAAAAGUGCUAUUUUACACCUUUAAUGCAUUAUGUUUUAAGCACUUUUGUGUAGUAGUUCUCCAUCUUUAGUCCAAUUGGCAUGUUAAGGACCUAGCAAUGUCUUCUAAUCAUAUUUGUGGCUAGUUUUAGUGUUUUGACAUCUUUUUGGAUCAUUAAGACAAGCCAAUCAAAGGAGAAAAGCAAAGAGAAGCAAGGAGGAAAACAGAAGACAGCAGCUGCAGUCUUCGUUGGAACUUUUGGAGCACUUCCCGAAGUCCAUUUUCUACAUGCUAUAUACCAUUUCAAAUCUCAGGAAGUCAAGAAUCCAACGCUUCAAACCGUGUAUGAUUUGGAGCUGAAACGAGGAAGAUAUGGCUUUCGGAAGACAACUGCUCCAGGUGUGCGAAAAUUUCGCACACCCCCUUAGCUGUGCGAAUGGUGUGCGAAAUUCGCACACCUUCUUCAGGUGUGCGAAAAUUUCGCACACCCCCUUGCGUGGUGCAAAUUUUGCUCUGUUUUUGCCGACUCCACUUUAGAUAUUUUCCUAUGUAUUUUUUGAUGUAAUUUCCUUUCUUAUCCUUAUAACUAACCAAUCACAAGCUUUUGCUUUUGUAAAGACUAUAUAAGGGGUGGAAAUUACCUCUUGGGAUAUAUGGAAUACGUAUUACGUUUUUACACUGAGAAUUUUACAGAGCUCUCUCGUUCUCUUUGCUCUUUACUAUUUUCUUUUUAUUGGAAGCCAAACAACCUCUAAGGAUGUUUGCUCGGAGGAUGAGAGGCUAAACUUUCGGUUUCUUGGAGUGAUGGAAGCUAGGUGAAAAGUCCAGAUGCAAGGUGGAAAACGCUCGUGCAUUAAAUUCAGGUAGUUGGAAUUCAUAAAUGGCUUUUAAAUCCAAAGUUUUGCUUUAAAUCCUUUAGAAUCACUUUGAAUGACCAAUACAUGGUAAGCUUCAGGUCUUUAUGGAUGCUUAUUGCUAGAUCCAUAUUAGUCCAUUAGUUAUCAUGUACGAGUCAUUGGAAAGCGGUUCAAGGUGAAGACCUAUAGUGUCUAAAGCCAUUAAUGGACUUUGACUACCAUUUAUAUUGAUUAUUAUGGAUUAAAUCUUCAUUGUUAAACCUAUACCGGUUCGGGAAAUAACUAUAGGUUAAAUCCCCAAUGCGAGGAGAAAAAUCCGGAAUUUUCCACUUUGCAUUCUAAACUUGAUCCUAGCAAUCCUGAGCUCCGGGAGACUUUCUUUCUUCCAUUUUUAAUUAGUUUAUGUUAGUUUAGUUUCAAACACUUUCAAAACAAAUUUUAUUUUCUUUUAAACUUUAAGUUUUUGAUUAAGGAAAUCAUUAAAUACAAUUUCUAAUUUUGAGUAUAUCACUGGUAGAAUGAAAACUCAUCCCAGAGUUCAACCCUAGAGCCACUAUACUAUAGUAGCUUUGCUACAUUAGUAUGAGGUCAUAGGUUUUAUAAAUGUUUUUGAUUAAAUGACCCAUUUGGAGUUACACAUGCGAAUCACACUAUAAAAUAUAUUAAAAAACAAAUAAAAAUUUGAAUAUUAAUUAUAGUACAUAAAAAUAAAUUUAUUUCAUUUAAAUUGAUUUUGUAAAAUAUUCUAUUAAUUCUUUUUGGGAGAGGUAUGUGUUGAUAUCAAAAGUUUUAGUGAAAUCAAUUAUUACUAAAUUGGUCUUAAAAAAUGACUUUUUAAUUCAACAAAAUUUGAAAUCCAUAUGUGAUAGAUCUUAUACACAUUUGACAAAUGUCAUGUAUUAAAAAGAUGAUAGAUUUCGUAAUUUGGAAUAUUACAAAAUUUAGUAUUUCAAAUAAAAUCAAAAUUUCCCAAUUAUAGUAAAAAAUAAUAAAAGUAAAUAAAUAAAUUUCUCAUUGUUUAUAUUCUAAAUAUUUUUUUUCAUAUCAAUAUGAUAUUAUUCAUAAUCUAUUGCAUCUUUCACUUUUUUUUCUUAUGAAAUAAAAUAUUAUUUAAAUAUAAAGAUGGAGACAUGAGAGUCACCCUUUUCAUUCUUAUCAUCCUUUUUAUCCUUUGUAUCAUCUUUUCCAUUUUUUAAAGCUACUUUUUAAAUAGAUUUGACUGGCUUAUGAUAGAAGAAAAAAAAUUAAUAUAAUAAACAAUGAUAGAGCAUGAUAAGAGAGGAGCCUCUCCAAUUGGCCAAGUGAUGUAAUGUCUUCGCGUGAAAGUGAAAAAGCCAAAAGGAGACACACAAAAAUAAAUAUAAUAUAAUAUCCCAAAAAAAAAAAAUCAUGAAGUGAUAAAGACAACAGAGAAUAAGGAUUGAAGAAAUAAUGUCAAUGGAAGAUGUGAAUUUGAUUGAAUUAAGAUUUGUUUGGUAGGUCUUGAUUUCAAUAGAAGAUAAAAAUGUCAAUGAUUUAGAAAUUAAGGAGGGUUUCUUUGAAUAUAUUUAUAUAGAAAAUUAUUAAUUAUUUGUCCAUAAUUUAAAUUUAAAAAAAAUAUUUUUUCAUAUAAAAUUAAAUUUGUAAAAUUUUAUUUCAAAACUUAAAUGUGAAAAAUAAUUUACAAGAUUUAUUCCUUAUGAAUAUAUUGUAUACUUCUAUACCAAGCAAAAGUUUUAAUACUUACUCAUAAUAUCAAAUAAAAAAAUUAAAAAUAUCUCAAAUUUGUUUUAAAAAUGAACUAAUUCUCAAUAAAUUAUUUUCUAUUAUGGCUUGUUUAAGAUAUAUAUAUAUAUAUAUAUAUAUAUAUAUAUAUAUAUUUAAAAAAAAAAAAAAACCAUUUUUUGCUUUAAAGAAUAAAAACUUAUUUUUAAAAGUAAUUUCGACCGAUACCUUAAAGGAUGUUUAGUAAAAUUUAAUAUUUAUUACUUAAUGAUUUAAAAUUAACUUUAAGUUAAAUCAUAUUUAAGUUAUUUACGUAAAAUUUAUUACUUAAUUAUUACUUGAAACAUUAAAGUUGCUUCAUAAAACUAACUUAAAAUUCAUUAUAAAUAAUCAAAUUGAUAUACUUAUUUUCGCAAAUUAUAAAUAAGAAAAAAAAACCAACUAUCAAUAGAGAGUGUAGAGCAACAAAAGUGAUCAUAGAGGUAAUCAUGAUAAAUAAAGGUAAAAAGGUAAAUUGAAUAUACGAAUUUAAAAAUAAAUUAAUUAUUUUUAUUUAUUAUUUAAAUUUAUUUUAUAUUUUAAGUUAUAAUUUACUCAAUGACUUAAAUUAAAUUAUUAAGUUACUUUAAGUUAUUAAGUUUAUUUAUAAGACACUCACUUAAUUUUGAAUUAUUUUGUUCCUAAUUUUGUUUAAAAAUCACAUGUAACCCUGUAAAAGCCCUUGAUUUUAAAAAUGUAGGUUCAUAUAAUUUAAAAUAUUACAAAUGCAAAUUUAAUAAGAUUAAUAUUUAUGAAAUGGUUAAUAAUUAUCGGUCAAUGAUAUGAAAUUUUAUAAAGAUUAUGAUAAGUGGGUGCCACCUAAUACAAUUAAUUGUCCAAUUCCCCCCUUAGUCUUUCUUAAUUAAUUAAAUUAUUUAUGGGUCAAUAAAAGUUUGCCAUGCUCAAUGGUCCAAACACCAUAUGUUUCAUGUGACUCAAUGUUUUCUUUAGCUACACAUCUUCAUGCCAUGCAACAAGGCACUGAGAGUCACUUUUGGAAGAAAAAGGGGGGAGAGAGAGAGAGAGAGAGAGUGGUUAAAAAAUUAAUUAAUGAUAUGAAUUAAAAUAUGAUUAUAAUUAAAAAAGAGAGUUUAAUCAGACUCUCCCACUUAUGAAAAAGUCAUUACCAUUACUAUAAUCAAGACUUAACUUUCCCGUCACGUGCACCUAAUUUAUGAGAUUUGGUGUGCUAGAGUCGUGGGUUUAUACCUUAAAAUUAGUCCAACAUGAGAUAUUGUUUCAAUGAUAGCUGCUAAGCUUUUCUUGCAACCUAAUGCCUUCUUCUUUGCUUAUUCACUAAACCAUUUUUUCAGAUUGAUAAUUAAGCACUUUGACCGGAAAUUAGGCUCAUUCAUAUGUCAUCAAAAUAUGACUGAUUAUGGUAUUGAAAAGGUACCUAUCGAAAAGAGUGAUUAGCUAGAUCGUAUAAUUAGUACAUUUAAUUUUCAUCGUAUUUCACCCGUUUCUUUUUAUUUUGUUAUAUGAUUUAUAUUUAUAUCUAAUGAUUUAGGUUUUUUGGUACACUUUUAGUCUCCAAAAAUAAAAAUAAAAAAAUAUUUAAAAUUAAUAAAUUAUUUUUAUGUCUUACUUAAAACUCAUUUCACUCCUUUAUAUAAAAGAUUAAAUAAUUUUAAAAUAUAUAGUUUUUUAAUUAUUUUAUACGGAAAAAUUCAACAUGAUAAAAUUAAACUUAGAUUUCAUAUUAAAAAAUAAAACCAAAUUAGCAUAUAAGUUUUAAAUUCGAGUGGAUUAAUUAGAGGAGAAAAUUAAUAAUAUUGCAACCCUUUUGGUGGAAUGGAAUCUAUAAAGAAUAUGGUCCCAUGAGAUGGGAUAUUAUGAGGAAAAAGAAAAAAAGAUUGUGCUAAUUUAGUUAUUGCGAUUCUUGAAAAACAAAACUCCUAGUACAAAAACAUCAUCAAACUUGGCAAAUUUUCUUCAUGUUGCUAGGUUUGACAUUAAAAGAAGAUGACCCAAUACAAUUGUGGGGUUGUGCUAUGGUCAAAAAGCUUUAGUGGUUCAUGAUAUCAAGAAUCUUUGCAACAACAACACACACGAGUGGAUAGAUGGAAAACACUAUUCCAUUGUCAUACUCAUCCAAACAAUAAAAAGACAUAUUUCCAACACGACGUACGUAUAAUAUCUAAAAACAUUUUCGAUGUACAAUUUUUUUUUUUAUAUAUAGAAAGUUAAUAUUUAGUGCAGGUGCAAUUUGGACUAAUUGAAUUAGGUUAAUACUUAAUCAAAAAAUAAAUUAUAUAUGUUCAAAGUUCACCCUAACCUGAUUUAUAAUCUAAAGUCAAUCGAAAUAAUUUUUUUUUGGUUGCAAUCAGGUUAAGCUGGAGUUAAAUAAUAAUAUAUGUGUUAAACUUAGAUUGAUCGAGUUUGACAGAUUAUAUAAGGUCACUGGGUUAAAAGCUGGAUGGGAUUGAGUUGCACUAGGGGAAAAAGAAAAAGAAAAAGAAAAAGAAAAAGAAUAACAUAUCAAUAGAUAAAAUAUAAAAUUUAUCUAUAAAAUUUUACAUUUUAUUACAUCAAAACGUAAAUUAUAUCUAUUAAUCUCAUUUAGACUUGGGUUGGGUAGGGUGAGCGGUCCACAUUGCACCCUUAGUAUUUAAACAUAAAUAAGAAAUAAUAUUUUUUAUAAACAUUAAUGGUAACAUUAUUUAAUGACCUUUUUAAGGAAUAUAUCAAAAUUAUGUAGAAUUUAAAAAAAAUUUCAUGGAGGGUUUCAAAAUGCAGUACAAGUCAAAACCAAUUCACAGGCACAAAACAUAAAGUGGGUAAAACAAAAAACAAGCACAAGCAAAGGGGUGAAAGCUUAUAAGAAGGUUAAGAAUGGAUUAAAAUACUAGAAAUAGUAGUAUGAUAUGAUUACUUGAAAUUCACUCACAUCUCCUAGAAAUCGUUUUCCAAAAGCAUUUUGAAAAAAUGGGAGGUGGGUGCUGGGUGGGUGGUGGUAUCGGUAGAAAAUAUACAGGAAAGUCCAAGCAAUUCCACUCGCCACUCGCGGGCGAGAGAGAUUCCCGGAGAACCAUGCGUGGGCUUGAUAAUCAAAUAUCAUUUAUUUUUAAAAAUUAACCACCAAUUUUUUAAUCAACUUUACGUGCAAGACAACUCAGCUCCCCCAUUUAUUUAUUCAGCUUAAAAAAUAAUUAACAGAUUUAAGACCUAAAUUUCUGAGCAAAAUUCAUAAGAAAACACUUUUUCGAAAUGUUUUUAAAAAACAAAAAAGGGUUUGAAAACAGUACGAUACAGACAAGCUUUACGGUUGCUAUCGAUAAGGACGCCUACAGGGAGAGGAUCAACGGCCUAGAUGUUUCCUCUAGGAAGAGUGAAUCUGGGCCGUUGAUUUUUGACCACCAGCUUUCGACAUAAAAAGGACAGGUCCAUGGACUCCAUGCCGAGGCAGUGCCACCCCAUAAUACCAUGUCCUUUUCGCGCUCUGACAGUUGUACCCCUCAUCUUAUGUGGGUCUAGGAAUUUACUGCACCAUCUGGUCCGAGGGUGUUAUCGUCAUUUCGUGGAAAAGGAAUCAAUAAUUGUGUGUACGUGUACCUGAAGUAAAUGUGGGGACGCAUUCCCCAUUUAAAAUUUUAUUUUUGACCUUUUGUAGAAAAAAAUUUAUUACCUCGCAUGCUUUUUUGGGUGCGAACUUCUUUCUUUUACCAUUUUACCAUGCCCAUCAGUCCGUACAAUGCUGAGACUGUCGUGAACAGACGGUGUUGAUUGGGUGAGUAACAAGAUUUCACUGCCUAUUAUGACCGCUUGAUUGAGUAGAUCUAGACCGUCGGAAGAACCGGGGUUGAUUGGACGGUCGGGAUUAUUUCACAUUAUUAUAUGGCUUUUUUUUUUCCAGUGGCAUGGUGGUCCACCCAAAAUCCGUUCCUACAGAUCCAGCCGUGCAAUGAGAAUCAUGAGAUUCUCUUACACAAUUUUGGUAUAUAAUAAUAGCACUUUAGUGCUCCCCUCCGCGAACUUCUCCCGAUAAAUUAAUGUGACUGUAUUUUCAAGUUCUCGCCAGGGCGGCUGGGGAAUACGCUCUGUAUAUACACCCGUUUUCUGCGGCUCCGCUUCGUCGCAAACGGAUAAGCAUCUGAAUCGGACGGUGGAGGUUAACUGUACGACACGCGUCGUGAUCACGAUGGUUGAUCAGUAUUACCCUCGGCGCCACUUGACUUAUUUAACUCUGGUUAGAAUUUAACCUGACCCGGCACAAAAUAAAAACCUUAUCCUCUGCACUCACACACUUCACCCCUCUUUCUCUCUCCUCUGCAACUGAGCUUGUUAAUGGCAUCUCAGAUCUGAGACUUCGAAAAGUCCGGUUUAGGGUUUGUUUGUGAAUUCGGAACUCCGAGAAAGAAGUUUCAAUGGCGUACUCGUUUCCGGAAGAGGUUUUGGAGCAUGUGUUUUCUUUCAUUCAUACCGAUAAGGACCGAAACGCGAUAUCUCUGGUGUGCAAAUCGUGGUAUGAGGUGGAGCGGUGGAGCCGGCGACGGAUCUUCAUCGGGAACUGUUACGCUGUGAGCCCUGGGAUAGUAAUCAGGCGCUUCCCGGAGCUCCGGUCAGUGGCGCUGAAGGGGAAGCCGCAUUUUGCAGACUUUAAUCUGGUGCCGGAUGGGUGGGGAGGUAACGUUUAUCCGUGGAUCGCUGCCAUGGCUAUGGCUUACCCGAUGUUGGAAGAGUUGAGGUUGAAGAGGAUGGUGGUGACAGACGAGAGCUUGGAGCUGAUCUCGCGCUCGUUCAAGAAUUUCAAGGUUUUGGUGCUCUCGUCGUGCGAGGGGUUCAGUACGGAUGGACUCGCUGCCAUUGCCGCAAAUUGCAGGUUUGGUAUUUGAGUUUUUCUGUGUUUGGUUGUCAGGAAAGUUAGGGAAAGGAAAAGCUUGAAGUUUUCUGUUGUAUCUUUUUUUUUUGGUUGAGAGAAAACGAGAAAAAGAAGAAAUUCGGGUCAAGCGAGCUAAGUAUGGCUCUGUUUGGCUGAGCUGAGUGGAAGAUUUUCUGAAGAGUCUAGGAUUUCAAGUUUUGAUUUACUUUCUUUUGCUACAUUUUUUCUAAGCAACCAAACGAAGCGUUAUAAUCGUUUUGAGCUCAAACCUGCUUGUGAAGGUAGUUUGUGUGGUUAAUGGUGGUGGAUGUGCGAAAAGAUUUGAUUUUUUUUUUAUUUGGAGAAAAAAAUUCUUGAUUUGUAUAUUUUUUUCCCUUUUUCUGCUAGGUGGUCUAAACUCAAACUAGUUGCGAUGGUUAUUUUUUUUUCUUUGGAAUUUAUUUCCAAAUAUAGGCGCUUUUUUAUUUUUAAUUUGAUUUCUAGUUUUUUGUCCUUGGAUGGGAAACCUGUGAGUCUUAACCUUCUUUUCUUGUUUUGGCUGCUCUCUUUUCGCUUUUGUUGCUUAUAGAUCUCAGAAUGACUUAUUGUUGGGGUGGUUAAUGUGGAAAAUCUAUUUUAAGAUCACCUGGGUUGCUUUUUCUUUUGCUUCUUUACCGAGUAUUGGACUUUUUUCAUAUGGGGUUGUUUUCAUACUUUGGAUCGUUACUUCUUAGGCAAAUGUGGGUUUCUUUAGGAUUCCUAAACUAGGUUCUCUUUUUCUUACUUUUUGUUCUUAUAGUGAAAAGAAUGAAUCUCCUUUAUUUUGCUUCUUUAGGAUUCUUUUACGCUGUUCUCCAAAUAUUCCAUUACUUUCUUUUGGUUUUUCAGAGGAAUUAUGAGUUAUUAUAUUGGAAUAUGUCUGUUUCUUUCGUGUGGAAAUGGUUACUGGAAAGAUGAAACCAGUGGAGAAUAUCUCUUGCUUUUCUCAUAAUUGUAGGGGGAAUAUCAUUGCAGGGAUGUUUUGUUGUUUUCAACAGCUUUCAUGUGCUGGUAUUCCUCAUUUUUUUAUUCUAAUUUAUAAUUAUUUGAGAGAAGCCUCUAUUGAGAUGCUAAUUUUAUGUGCCAAGAACGCCUUUUUCCUUUUGUUCUGGUUAUCAUUUUGCUCCAUUGAUCAAUUUGGUGGAAUCAUUCUGGUUCGAUUUUUGUGUUAUGUAAAUUUUAGCUUGUCAGCUUUUUUGUUAGUGAAACACUAGUUUCUAAUGCAGGAAUCUGAGAGAGCUGGACUUGCGAGAGAGUGAAGUGGAUGACUUCAGUGGACAUUGGCUCACCCAUUUCCCUGAUUCUUGCACAUCACUGGUGUCCCUCAACAUUUCCUGCUUGGCCUCCGAGGUGAGUUUCUCUGCCCUGGAGCGCCUGGUGGGUAGGUGUCCCAGUCUGAGGACUCUCCGGCUCAACCGUGCUGUGCCCCUUGACAGGCUUCCCAACCUAUUACGCAGGGCGCCUCAGCUGGUUGAGCUGGGUACAGGUGCCUACUCAGCUGAGCACCGGCCUGAAGUGUUCUCAAGUUUAGCAGGAGCUUUUUCAAACUGCAAAGAGCUCAAGAGUCUGUCUGGAUUUUGGGAUGUGGUCCCGGAUUACCUUCCAGCCGUUUAUCCUGCCUGUUCUGGGAUCACAUCUUUGAACUUGAGCUAUGCCACUAUCCAAAGUCCUGAUCUCAUCAAGCUGGUCACCCAGUGUCAGAAUUUGCAGCGGCUAUGGGUAUGGCUGAUCUUAUAUACUGUCACUUGAAUGAUGCAGUCUUUUAUUUGCAUGUGAUUUUUAAACAUAAUUUCCAUUGCUCCUGGCUUGCAAGUUGUAAAUCAAGAUCUUGACCUGGAAAGUAAUGGGUCCUACAUAAGAUAAAGAUAUGUAUAGAAGAAUUUAGAUGGUUAAAUGAUCCAGGCCAUCUGAUUUGCAAUUUUAUGUUAGAAGUUCUUGUUUCUCCUUUACCUUUUUUUUUUUUUUUAAAUUAAGAAUGCUAAAUACAGUUGUUGAAUCAUAGGUUUCAAGAUCACCCUAGUAAAGUGGUUAUUGGCAUCUGGAGGCCUCUUUCUGAGGUUCUGUUAGUUCUUGUUCCUGCAAUAUGUCAUGUGCAUGAUUGGGAUUUUUGCUUGUGCCUGAAGCUUUGGAUGGUGGUCUUUUCCUAUUGCCGUUUUUUCUUGAACUAAUAGAAGACAUGAUUACAGGUACUUGAUUACAUUGAAGACAGUGGCCUAGAUGCUCUAGCUGCAUCUUGCAAAGAUCUGCAAGAACUGAGGGUGUUCCCUUCUGAACCAUAUGACAUGGAGGGAAAUGUAGCCUUGACAGAACAAGGGCUUGUCUCUGUUUCUGAAGGCUGCCCUAAGCUCCACUCUGUGCUAUACUUCUGCCGUCAAAUGACAAAUGCUGCCUUAGUUUCCAUUGCCAAAAAUCGGCCAAACAUGACUCGUUUCCGUCUCUGCAUUAUUGAACCCCGGACUCGUGAUUACCAAACCCUGGAGCCACUUGAUGUGGGUUUUGGAGCCAUUGUUGAGCACUGUAAAGAACUACAUCGCCUUUCCCUCUCUGGUCUUCUCACUGACCGGGUGUUUGAGUACAUUGGAACCCAUGCCAAGAAGCUAGAAAUGCUAUCUGUGGCUUUUGCUGGAGAUGGUGAUUUGGGGCUCCAUCAUGUUCUCUCUGGGUGCAAAAGCCUCCGGAAGUUAGAGAUCAGGGAUUGUCCCUUUGGGGACAAGGCUCUCUUGGCCAAUGCUGCAAAGCUGGAGACAAUGCGAUCCCUUUGGAUGUCUUCUUGCUCAGUGAGUUUUGGAGCAUGUAAGCUGUUAGGUCAGAAGAUGCCCAGACUCAAUGUUGAGGUUAUGGAUGAAAGGGGGCGACCAGAUUCAAGGCCAGAAAGCUGUUCAGUGGAGAAGCUUUACAUAUAUAGAUCAGUUGCUGGGCCAAGGAGUGACAUGCCUCGAUUUGUGUGGACAAUGAAGACUCCGAGUUGAGGCUGUCUUGAUGAAUCUCCUCAGGAAGAACUGCCCCCUUGAAUCUUAUGAAUGGAUAUAGCAGGUACAUGCUCUAUAUGCUACUCAUUGUUUCAUAUUCAGUUUUAUGAAAAUUUAACAUAAUUGCAGCUCUGGUUGGAGUAGAAAUGAGUAACAAGAGGGUAUGAAGAGGCUCAAGAGCUCAAAUGCCAUUCAUUUUACACUUGGCUGAGCUAUUUGACUACAAUUAGUGGUUAAUAAAGAGAUGAAGACUCUUGUUGUUAUGUUGUAUCAAAUGGAUUUAUUAUUUUGGUUGGGAAUAUUUACCAUGUAUACUAUUUUCGUACUUUGCAUGUUUAUGCAUAUGAAUUGUUUUGUUUUCAGCAGUGAAGUAUUUGUCUUCUGGACUUACCUGUGCUAUCAGCAGUUCUCAUUGAAUAAAAUUCCAUAAUUUUCAUCAACCUGAAUUACAAUACAUGCGUGUGCAUGCAUCUCAGAAUUAUGGAACUUUGCUUUGAUGUAAUUCCCUUCUUUUUCUUUGGGAAAUUCAAACAAGAAACUGGUACAUUGGUCAUGACUGGAACCUAGGAAGCUGAAGCCCCGCAUGAAAAACCUAUAAAAUGAAGUGAAAUCUUUACGCUUCAGCCAUGGGAUUUACAAUUCUCUAUAAGGCUAAUCAUCUAUAACAUUCCCUUUGUGCUUUAGGGGUUCUUACCAGAAAAAAUGGAAGUGUUAUCUAGGUUAUAGUUCAGUGUCGAAUUCUACCCUUCUGAAGGUUAAGACUCAGAACCAUGCUUCAUUGUUCUUAGGUUUUUCUCCAGGUCAUCUUAGAUUGGAUUGGUUGGUUUCUUUUUUAGUUUGUGGUCCUGUUUUAAAAGUUCACACUCCUGAGAUUCUGCAACUUUUUUACUUAGGCUUGUUCUCGAUUCUUUAGUUCUCCAAUUUGCAGCAGUAGCUAGUGUUCACCAAUCGUGGCUGAGCCAUAUGCCAUCCCAGGAGAUUUUUUGACGAAAUAUGGGAUAUGAUAUGAUCAUUGGUGUUCCCACAUUGUUUUCCAAACUCCCCACCAAACUUGUGCAUUAUGUAUAAAAAAAACAGCUGGGGUAAGGUCCACCCAACCUGAAUAUCUCCAUCAUUCAAUAUAUGUAUAUAUAUAUAUAGUUCUCAGUUUGGAUGCCAGCUACUUGCUGUACAAACAAAUGUGUACUAAAGGAUGAUGAGGUACUACAAGAAGCCAAAAGAGUCAAAACUUGCUUCUUUUCAUUCUGGCAUUGUAGUUUGUUGUGGAAUUUGUGCUUUGACCAUUCUCUUUCUAGCGUUAUAGUUUGCUUGGCACAGAUGGGACUUUUGGAUCAAUUCACAUAAAACAAUAUGUUUGAAAAUUCUGGUCCUUCUGAUGCUCUAGUAUUUUUCUCUAUUUAGAGAACAGUGGUUUAAACACCAUGGACAUAUGGCAAAAGGGCUUGGUAGCUUGAGGGAUAGAUCUCUCACUUCUUUGGUUCUCAAGGGGAUCCCAUUUGGAUGAGCUAUUUAUAACUUGUAACCAAAGGCUUUUUGGUUUGUUCUAAUGAAACAGAAAGAUUAGAAUGAGAAAAUGUUGUGAAAGGGGUGGGUAUUGAUGAGGCUGACCUGCAUAAAGGGAAACUACUAUUGAUUCUGAGAUUUGGCAAAGGUGGUAGCAGUAAGAUUCCUUACAAAACUAAAGUUAUGGUGAUUGAUGUGCGCCCCCCCCCCCCCUCCCCUCUGUGUCUGGUCCACAAUGAUGGAAAGAGGAAACAAUUAUCUGCUUUUGAAAGAAAAUUAGGGUCCUCUUUUUGUCUGUUUGUUUCUAGGGAAAAAAUAUACUCAGUGGAACAAGUUCAAUUAUUACUGUGGUAAUAUAUAAUCUUAACCUUGUUAGCCAAUUGAGCAAAUAUAUAUUUCUUAGGUAAUAUAAAAGUACUAAAAAUAGUGAUAUGCACUUUUAGAAAUUAAAAUUUUGGCAUAGUGAUGAUGAUAUAUUGAAGUUAGAAAGUUAUUAUAAUUAUUUUAAUUAACAUUAUGAUAUAUUUAAUUAUUCAAUUUUUAAGUGAAGAGUUUUUGGUAUAUUUAAUCAUAUAAAUUUGUGCAUCAAAUAUAUAUAAAUAAAACUUUUUAAAUAAAUUUUUAAAAAUUAAUAAUAUUUAUGUAAGUAAAUAUAUUUAUAUAUAAAAUAAUAGCAAAUGUGAGAUUUUAGCUUCUAGCAUGUGAAAGAUAAAUUAAUUAAAAUUUUCUAUAUUUACUUUAUUUUAUUCAUGUAAAUAUUAAUAAUUAUUUAUGUGUUUAAUUAAUAAUAUAAGUAAUUUUAUUUUAAUUCUCUCUCUUUUGUCAUUUUUUUCAUUGUUGAAGGGCAAGGAGGUAAAUGAGUAAAAAGCAUCCAUUUACCAUGGCAGUGAAUCUUAUUGAAGAAAAGCUCAUCCACCUCUCUGAGGAGUAGGUGGUGGUGAUGGUGGUUUCAGCCUUAGGAAUGGUAACUUUCUUUCACUUUCUCUCUCUUUUCUCGACUGUUGUGUCAUGUGAUAGAUUCUGUGAAAUGCCAUCACCCCCACUACUUUUUUACUACUACCUACCUUCUCUCUCUCUCUCUCUCUGCGAAAUGCCAUCAUCCCCACUACUUUUUUACUACCUUCUCUCUCUCUCUCUCUCAUCACACCCACACCAACCAGGGCCACCACAAGCCCAAAAUUCUAAAUAUAUCCUUGAAAAAUUAUAAAUAUAAUUCAAACCCCCAUCAUGGACAGAUACUCAGACAACAACAUUACAUCUUGAAAAAAAAGAAAAAAAAUCUCAAAUAAAAAAAAAAAGAAAAAGAAAAAGAAAAAGGGAAAAAGUGGGUGAAAUGAAACAAAGAUAUCUGUGAGUCUCUGCAAGUGGUGCAUGCAAUCAAUUGGGUUUUAUCAGAACAUUUUUAUUGUUUGAUGAUGGCCACACGUUUGAGAUGGGUUUCUCUGAUCAUCACCAUCAUUUGGGUGUGUGUAUUGUUCUUGAUGCUCAAUCAUUUUCUUUUUCCUUUUUUUUACUUUCUUUUUUGCUGAUUUCAUCUGAGUGUUGAAAACCCAAUAAUGGUGUCACAGAAUCCCCACCCUCUUUGUGUUUUUGUUUCAAUCUUUGAUACUGUAUCGUGGCCCGUGGGGGUAGAGAAUACACUUUUUGAAUGUUUGUACCGUUGGAUGGGGUCUUUGUCUUUUGGUUGAUUUGGACUCCUCCUUCCUUUUCUUGCUUUUCAAUCUGCAUUUUUUGGUUACUGUGAUCAGUCAGUGAUGAUUGUUGCAUUCUGAUUCUUCCUUCACAAUUCUAACCCCUCUGCUCUCCACUUUAUGCCAAACUUGCUUUGAUUUUUUUAUUCUGUUUUUGUUUUUGGUCCUCCGAUAUGCUUCAACAUCCACCGUUGAUUCUCCUUGCAUAUAUCAUAUCAUAUAUAUAUAUAUAAAAUGUGAUAUUCUACGUUGGAUAUAAGAGAAAGUUCUUUACGCAAUAUAUGUAGAGACUUCUUUUAAUAAAAUAAACAGCGUUUUAAAGCCGUGAAGACCCCAAAACAGACAAUAUUUACAUGAUUGAGAGUGGGUCAAAUGUUAUGAAAUGAUAAAUACAUUUAAAAUUUUUUAUAAAUGAAAAUUAUUUUUACAAAUGUAGACCCUUAUCACAAAUAUUUCAUUUCUAAAAAGCAUGUUCUUGUUUUUUGCAUUGGACCAUUUUUAAGGGAAAAGUACUUUAAUUUUUUAAAAAUUGGGGCUUCUUAGACUAUGCUUCAGUCGAAUUCUCAAAAGUUGAACAACUUUUUCUAAACCUUAAUAAGCACUUUCAUAUGUAUUUACGUAAUUUUUAAAAAAGUUUAGUGCUAAAGUGUAGCUUUUUGUGGAUUAUUUAUUUAUUUUUUAUUUUGGUGCAACUUGUCAAACGUUGAUAUUAUUGCAAGGCAAUAUGUCUCGUGACGGAGGCGUUUAUUGUGGGUCAAGGAUAGGGCUCCAAGUUGGGCGGUGGAACCCGGCCAAUCCCAGGUUUAGGUCGGCGUGGGAGUAUGAAAGUCCUUGGUUAUGGUUUGGUUUAGGUUAGGAAAAUAAUGUGUUUAGGACUUAGAAUUGAUGUUAGUUGAAGGUGUGACUUUUAUUAUGUAUUUAUUAUUUUAUUUAAAAUGUAGAAAAUAUACAACGAUAAUGAAAUAAUUUUAACCUCCAUUUUUUUUAAUUAUCUUAGACUAAUAAAUUUAACAUUCUUAUUUAAUUAUUUACAUAAUUUUAAAUAUUAAAAUAUUAAAAUAUUAAAAUUUGAGUUUAGAGUUAUCAUUUACAUUAAAUUAAUAAUUAAUAAUAUAUUUAUGACUUCGAGAUAUUUAUUUUUUAUAAUCUUAUUUAUAGAUGGGUUUAAUUCAAUCGCUCAAGUUGUAGUCUUAGGUAGUGUUUUUUUUUGAAAACUUUUUAUCGAAAUUAAUUUGUUUUUAGAUUGCGGAUGUUUUUUUUUUAUAAUUUUUUUGUUGAUUUGUUAUUUAUUUCUUAACUUUUUUAACUAAAUAGAAAAACUCGAAAUAUUUGACUUUUUUAAUGUUAAAAGUAACAUUGAUUUUUCUUUAUUUUUUAAUAUUUAAUAUAAAUAAAAUAUUAAAAAAAUAAUUUAAUAAUUUAAUAUUAUUAUAAACUAUUUAAUUUUAAGUUUUAUUUAGAGUUAAGUAAAAAACAAACUUAAUAAUGACUCUAGUGGGCCGAGCUUAAAUUUAAAUUUUGGAUGGGCUUGAGCAACCCUUAAGUGUGGUUAGGAUUUGGGCUUGGGUUUAAUGCGGCCCAACGGGUAAACUAACACUAUAUACAUUCAAAUGGGCUCUCGUAAGAAUUGGGCCAAGAUCAGAGAUCAGAUUGGGCGGAGUCUUGAGCACGCCUAACCUGGUCUUGGACAAGUCAUCCGACAUACACGAGAUUGAGAUCGUUGAAAAAGAAUUGUUUGUUAGGCUUCCAGAGGAGUUUUGUAAUGCUUUGUAAUUAGACAUAAAAUGUAAAAUAUAAAUGAAUAAUUGUAUAUUUCACAAGAGACUAUGCCACGAAUCAUUUAUGAAUUGUUAGCAACAAAACAGUACACAGAGACUUGACUGAUUGAUUAAAUGCUAAUAAGCUUUAGAGUAGACUUGACUUUGAGAAAUAUAAAACAUCUUCCAUCCUUCUCACGGUCUCAUUUCAUUCUUCCACCAUUUGGGAGAGGAGGUUUCUGAUAAAGAAAACCAAAGAAGAGAGAUGGGGAAGAUGAUCUGCACAGAGGUCGGCGGGUGUGGUGAAGGUUUGGAUCUCAAGGGACUCCUCAUGGCUCUUGUAAUCGCUCUCACGCUCAUGGUCAUCUGCUGGCGGCCUCCCCGCCAUCGGGCCUACAUCGCUGUGCGUUAUUGUUGACAGAAUUCCACCCAUCUCAAUCGUGUUUUCCGUUUGUUUCUCGGGAUUUCUUUGGUUUUUCCUCAAGGUAAUUAUGUUUGUUAGAGGGAGUAUUACUAAUAAAUACAAGAGUGUAUUAUGAUCAGACCCAGGGGUGGGUGGUCAUAUGAUGAGUCAUGACAUAAGUUACUGUCCACGUGAUUUUGAAUCUUCCUUAUUGUAAUAGGUUAUGAUAGAUGGGUGAAUGAAAAAAGUUGCUUCACUUUAUACCAAUUAUUUUCUAUCGAGGAUGAUGGUACUUUAUGUUGCCGGUGAUUGUGCUUGUUAAUUUUUUCUACACUUGUUUGGAAACGCUUUUGAGAAUGGGUUCUUAAAAAAUAAUUUUUGAAUAUGUUUUAAGAAACACUUCUGUAAUAUUCUCUAAAAUAGUAUACAAAAAUCUGAAAUAUUUUCAAUAUGUUUUUUUUUUCAAUUGUUCUACUUGUGAUAUUCCUUUUAUUGAGAAAGUCUAUGGGAAAAAAAUCACAAAUUAUGAAUCCAAAUUUAUAAAAAAUAAAAUAAAAAAAUUCACAAAUGAAGAAUCCAAAUUUAUAAAAUAUAAUUUUUUAACAGUUAUUUAAAAUUAAUUAGCUUUUCAUAAAUUUUAUUUUAUCAAAAGCAUUAUAUUUGUCUUUUAGGUAUUAUCUUUUAAUAAUAUAAGUAUCUUUUAAACGAUAAAUACAUAAAACUUAAAUUAUUUUUAAAGGAUUCCCAUUGUCUUAUAUGUGUGUGAAAAUAUAUAUUUUUCUUAUAUUUUUAAUUUUUAAUUAUUCUCUAAACAACUGAAAUAUAUUCUCAUAAAAUAUCUUAGUUUUGGAAAACUAUUUUUUAUAAAAAAAUCACUAAAUAUGUUUUCGGAAUUUGAAAAACAGUUCUGAACAAAAUCCUAUUUUUUAAAAACAGUUCCAAACAUCCUCUUUUCAAGUGGCUUCUUGUGACGCCGAGAUUUUCAACCUAGGAUUUGCAGAGAAGGAUCGUGUACCCCACAGAGAGCUCUGUUUACAUUGUUUUUCAAACCCGAAAUUGCAGAGAAGGAUCGUGUAUUUGCCAACAGAGCAAGAAAUUCUAGA
rnacentral:lncRNA from 1 species